rnacentral:rRNA from 1 species
UACGUAGGGUGCGAGCGUUAAUCGGAAUUACUGGGCGUAAAGCGUGCGCAGGCGGUUCGCCAAGUCAGGUGUGAAAUCCCCGGGCUUAACCUGGGAAUUGCGCUUGAAACUAGCGGGCUUGAGUGUGGCAGAGGGGGGUGGAAUUCCACGUGUAGCAGUGAAAUGCGUAGAUAUCAAGAGGAACACCUGAGGUGAAGACGGGUUGCUGGGCUGACACUGACGCUGAGGCGCGAAAGCCAGGGGAGCAAACGGG